CGCCAGCGGUACUGUCGGCUCCGAGUGCCACAAAGCCACCUGCGUAUUUCUGGAAUCCCCCGUCGUCCCGUCAAUGUUUACAUCGCAGGAACGAUGCUCAUUUGUUGGCUCAGGGUCACAGAGCCUAUCGCAGCAACUACAACCGCAAGGCAGUGAAUAACUCAGGAUGGAGCACCAACAUCUCAGGACACAAACGCCAGUCACACCUAUGGAGAAUCUGCGUGCUAGGCCCCCGUGUUCUUCCAGUUUCCAGAUGUUUCCAAUCAUGCGUCCUCCAGGAGACUGGCCCCCUCCUAGCCCCUUCACCGCCCAUCCUCGGGGCCCCCAGACGGCAGUCGGGAAUGGGGCACGUUCCCUUGCUUGAGCCCCAUUUCUCCAAACCGUUGCAGUAGAUGCCUUUCAGAAGAGGUCACCCCCUUGCCACAUUAAAAAGCAGAACUUUCAGACCAGGCAUGUUCUCAGUGAUAACUCAUAGCGUACAGAUAUUUUAUUACAUUGAAAACUGAAAUCCAAUUGAAAUUAUUUAUGAAUAAAUUGCCCAUUGUUUGGACACUCUAUCCUUUCUCAUCUCAAUAAAUUGCUAUAGUACAAAUUCAAAAUAUCAAGACAUAUCUUUCAUUCAUACUCCUAAGGCAAGUAUUCCUGUUAUUAUGAAGUUGUUUAUGGAGUUUUUGCAUUUGUUAUGUCUUUAAAGGGUUGGGUUAUCUUGUGAAUUUUUCCAAUUUUUUUCAGUGUUCGUAACUACGGAAAUUUAGUGCAAGCGUGUGGGCAGGAUGGAGAGACAUCUGUAUUUACAUGCCGACACCAUUAAUAAAAGUUAAAAAAGGAAAAUGUUAAAGACACGUGUAUCUUUAAUAUUAUCAAGAACUUUUUCAACAGAUGAGCCACACCCCCCUUUCUGGGUCAGCCCCUGCUUGCAGCUUAAAUCAGCCACAGGUUCCUGGACGACAAGGGACCCCCACCAUCCACCCUGCUCUGCCCCCACCCAUCAUACAGCCCUCUGAUUAUAAACCACUCUUUUAACCCUCAAUCUACACUUAGGGCUAUACCUCAGCCUUGGGAAAUUUUAACCAAUGUGCUGUGACAGGAAUUCUAUGCACAUAUGUGAUCAUUACAUCACACUCCCAUAAAACAGGGAUACGGUAAAAGAUAGAAGUUCUGCCAGUUCAACCACUUGCCAUUAAUAUUUUUGUAAUGUACAAUACUGUGCAAAAGUCUUAAGCAGUGGGAAAAAAUGCUUAAAGCUAUUUAUCUAGCUACGAAGUGUGUAUUUGCACAGAGAAAAACACAAGUUAACAUUAAAAUGUUUGAAAAUGAACAAUAAUAUGAUAAAAGUUCUCCAAAACGUUACUGAUAUCUUGUUGUCCCAAAACUCUCCUCAAGGGCACCUCAUUUCAUUAAUCUUCAUCAUCAGUUCACUUAAUCAAUUAACUUAAUUAGUUAAAUAAGUAACGUGAUGAGGUAUUGAUCAGCCAAACAUGGUGUGCUAGUGGUCAAGAAAACAAAGUUUGUGUUUGUGUUUGGGGGUAGGGAUGUGGGUACGGUCAUUCCAUCCAUAUAAGAUGUUCCAACCUCUUUCGUUGCUUGCCAUUUCAGACCCGGUCCAGUGGGAAGAUCUUUCAACACCUCUCAUUGGUUAGCAUGAGGCAUUAAGCGGGCCUAGCAGGUCGGCCUCAUGCUCCUGCGUAAGUUUGAAGAAGCUGCUGGAAGGACUCCAAAGUGGGGAGGGGCAAGAGAGCUGUCACCAUCCCCUUUGAGCUGGAGCAGAAAGUCGCAGAAGGCCGUUGGAAGGAGAUUAAAAUAAAAUUCUGUUCAGAUGAAGAAUGGAGAGAGGGACACAUUUCAGUAAUACUGAACACGGUCGCCAUGCCAACCAGGACUUGAAGAUUCAAAGCAGGGUGUCCCAGCAGCUUUCUGUGAGUUUCCUUCUGAAGCAUCGCUCCAAAAAAAGUGUUCCUCAAACCAAAACUGCCGCAAGGCCCAAUAUAUCACUUCCUGAUUCCUGAUUCUUAUCGAACAGCUCAGAAAGAUUUUUAGGCAACAUGUUCUGGCUGUUGGAGCUCACCUAAAAACUAUACCUCUAAAUAUAUGACAUUUAAGCCUACAUAUUUGAAGGAAGUUCUGUUACUAUUCUCAGUAGACACAUUUGUAUGGUAUGGCAGUCAGUACUUGUUAAAUUGCAGCUGUAUGGUUCCUGCACUAAAAUGUAUAUGUUAAAAUAGCUCUUGCAAAAACUGCCGGUGUGACAUCACAGGUUUUCAUAAUUUUGUAUUUUUUACCAUAAUUUUCCUUUGUAGAAUAGGGAGGUACAAUGGGUAAAGUCAAUGCAUAUGAGGAUCUAUAUUCAAUGUGUAUGCAUCUAUAUAUAAUAUCUGGCAAACUCAGGUUCUAUGUCUAGUGAGGCCUGUGGUCUACCAUUCCAUGGGUCUUUGCCCAUGGUUGGGUGGUCGUGGGUUCAAGUCCGAUGGCCAGGAGAAUAAUUAUAUCACUAUCGGGCCCUUGAGCAAGGUACUUCACCCCAAUUGCUCCUUCGGACUGACUGACCCUGCUCUCUGAUCCUCAUUUAUAUCAAUGUGUGUCCAGAUUGGGCACACAGUCCUCGGAUUCUCCUGCUCCACCCAUUAUGUCCAGUGAAUCACAUCUGGUGGCUUGGUAUACCUUAUAAGAGUAGGGAAGGAGCAAAGGGUGGCGGAGGAAGCCAAGGUGAAGAAAGGGGUGGAGGAGGAGAAGGAAAAGAAGAAGAAGUUCUGUCCUUACAGCAGGAAACGUAACAUAUUAGUUUUCUGUCCUCUCUCUCCUUUGUCUUUUGUGGGGAUUUGGCCACUGAGUUGUUGCUCAUUGGGAACCGAUUUUAACAUCAAUUGGGCGAUUAUGUAUAUUUAUAUUAAUUUCCAUAAUCUUCAUAAUUUGGGACCUCUUCGCUAGUUGAGUGCCCGCUGAGUCAUCUGUUAA